AAGUCGAGCGGACAGAUGGGAGCUUGCUCCCUGAUGUUAGCGGCGGACGGGUGAGUCACUUGUGGGUAACCUGCCUGUAAGACUGGGAUAACUCCGGGAAACCGGGGCUAAUACCGGAUGGUUGUUUGAACCGCAUGGUUCAAACAUAAAAGGUGGCUUCGGCUACCACUUACAGAUGGACCCGCGGCGCAUUAGCUAGUUGGUGAGGUAACCGGCUCCCAAGGCCAACGAUGCGUAGCCGACCUGAGAGGGUGAUCGGCCACAACUUGGGAACUGAGACACGGCCCAGACUCCCUACGGGAAGGCAAGCAGUAGGGAAUCUUCCGCCAAUGGACGAAAAGUUCUGACGGAGCAACGCCGCGUGAGUGAUGAAGGUUUUCGGAUCGUAAAGCUCUGUUGUUAGGGAAAGAACAAGUACCGUUCGGAAUAGGGCGGUACCUUGACGGUACCUAACCAGAAAGCCACGGCUAACUACGUGCCAGCAGCCGCGGUAAUACGUAGGUGGCAAGCGUUGUCCGGAAAUUAUUGGGCGUAAAGGGCUCGCAGGCGGUUUCUUAAGUCUGAUGUGAAAGCCCCCGGCUCAACCGGGGAGGGUCAUUGGAAACUGGGGAACUUGAGUGCAGAAGAGGAGAGUGGAAUUCCACGUGUAGCGGUGAAAUGCGUAGAGAUGUGGAGGAACACCAGUGGCGAAGGCGACUCUCUGGUCUGUAACUGACGCUGAGGAGCGAWAGCGUGGGGAGCGAACAGGAUUAGAUACCCUGGUAGUCCACGCCGUAAACGAUGAGUGCUAAGUGUUAGGGGGUUUCCGCCCCUUAGUGCUGCAGCUAACGCAUUAAGCACUCCGCCUGGGGAGUACGGUCGCAAGACUGAAACUCAAAAGGAAUUGACGGGGGGCCCGCACAAGCGGUGGGAGCAUGUGUUUUAAUUUCGAAGCAACGCGAAGAACCUUACCAGGUCUUGACAUCCUCUGACAUCCUAGAGAUAGGACGUUCCCCUUCGGGGGCCAGAGUGACAGGUGGUGCAU
rnacentral:rRNA from 1 species